UUUCUUCUCGUCUGUCGCCAUGUGAGAUGUACCUUUCACUUUCCUCCAUGAUUGUGAGGCCUCCUUAGCCACAUGGAACUCCUGUACAAGAAACAUGGUGCCAGCAUCUGCUUCUGGUGAGGACUGCAGGAAGCUUCCAAUCAUGGUCCAAAAAAUGCGGAGCCUGCGUGUCACGUGAUAAGAGAUGGAGCGUGAGAAAGAGGCAGGAGGAGAAAGUGACCCCCACCUUUACAAGUGUCUGUAAUUCUCACUAGCAGUAUAUUAGAGGGCAAAAGAUUUGAACAGACACAUCAGAAAAGAAGACAUACAAAUGGCCGCUAAGCACUUGAAAGGAUUCUGAACACCAUUAGUCAUCAGUGAAAUGCAAAUUAAAGCCAUAAUGAAUGGCGCUAUACAUUUUCAGAAUGGCAAGGAUUGAAGACCGAAAAAAAUCAAGCGUUGAGGAGAGUGACAAAUGGGGAGACAGCCGUGGUGCAUGAUCGCCGAAUAAAUACCAUGUGAGGAUACAGCAAGAAGGUGGCCAUCUACAAGCCAAGGAGACAGGCCUCAGAAGAAACCAACCCUUCUUACACCCUGGACUCAGACUUCUAAUCUCCAGAACUUGUUAAUGCACAAGGUCUUGUGUUGAAAAUGUAGAGCCACGAGAUAAAAGCAGCUUGGAUGGCUGACUCAUAUACAAGGACAACUGCCUGAGAGUCACCAGGGCUAUCAAGAAGUUUGCAGAAACAAGAAAUAAACUUUUACUGUUUUAAA
rnacentral:lncRNA from 1 species